CCCUGCCUCUGGCAAGUAGCAGCCUAAUCUUGUGUCUGUAGGCACUGGGUGCUGACUAUUGUGGCAAGGUUCUUGACUUGGGUGAGACUCUGAUCCCUUAGACCCCUUGGUACUGGCUACUACUGUUUAGCUAAUGGGAAAAGUUUGUUUUAUUUCAAAGCAGAGCAGAUAAAUUCACAGAGGUGGACAUUACAACAUGCAGUGACUGUCUUUGGGAGAAUGACAAGGCCAGGACUAAACCUUAGAAUAAUAUUGACUGGAAUGUAAAGAUUGGUGCCCUCUGCAACCACUCUGAAGGGCCAUUUUGAACCAUGACUGGAGAGAAUCGUGGCCCUCAGCACAUUGGGAUAGAAGCCAUGAGCAGGAGCAGCAGAGCCGGAGAAGGAGCAAGCAGGCCAGACAUAAAGGCCUGGUUCUGAAGUCAGAGUGCAGCAGAGAAGAGAUGAAGAGGCUCAAGGAGAAUGAUGUGCAGAAGCUUUCUCCCUGUGAAAUCCCGAUCUCAGCAGCACAUCUUCCACAUAAUGGCAGGGACCUGUCUGCUCAGCUCUGAGCUUUUGGUGGUGCAUAUUUUUGAAGUAUUGGAGGAGAGAUGAGUGAGGGAGGGAGGAAGAAACAGAACUUCCCCAAUUCCACAGGAGUGAUUGUGUGUUACUUAUGUUACACCUUGCAAAUUGAGUCUUCACAACAAAAGUCAGUGCCAUUUCUAAUCCUUUCUAUACUGCAUAAAAUAGCUUUAUAUAUUUCCCCAACAUAUGGUUUAUGCUUUGCAAGUAGUAAAAUUUAUAUAUCUUGGUCUCUUUCCAAAUCAUGAACAAA